rnacentral:rRNA from 1 species
CCUACGGGUGGCAGCAGUGGGGAAUAUUGCACAAUGGGCGCAAGCCUGAUGCAGCCAUGCCGCGUGUAUGAAGAAGGCUUUAGGGUUGUAAAGUACUUUCAGCAGGGAGGAAGGUGAUAAGGAUAAUACCCUUGUCAAUUGACGUUACUCGCAGAAGAAGCACCGGCUAACUCCGUGCCAGCAGCCGCGGUAAUACGGAGGGUGCAAGCGUUAAUCGGAAUUACUGGGCGGAAAGCGCACGCAGGCGGUUAAAUAAGUCUGAUGUGAAAGCCCCGGGCUUAACUUGGGAAUUGCAUCUGAAACUGGUUAACUAGAGUCUUGAAGAGGGGAGUAGAAUUCCAUGUGUAGCGGUGAAAUGCGUAGAGAUGUGGAGGAAUACCGGUGGCGAAGGCGGCCCCCUGGAC